UGACGACAAGAAGCAAUGUACCACAACCAAGGCUUCAAAUUUGGAGCUUCUAGCCAAAAUAAAAACCCCAAUAUUUUAACUUUCAUUGUUACUUAUAUCAGUGCAAAAUUGCUGUGUACUGCGCGAACCAUACUAUAAACAUUCAUAUUAUUGUUUUUCAUGUGUUUGAUAGCUGCAUCAUAAUUAUUUUGUGUUAGUGCAGUUCAGUUGUUCUGAACCCCAACAUUUUAACUUUCAUUGUUAGACCGCUUGCAAACAUUGCUGUGCACGUGUACUGAGCAAACCAUAACACGUUAACACAUCGUAAUAUUAGUGUGUCAGUACAGUUGAAGAAUUUUGUUCAUUGGGCCAGGCUAUAGAGAAUUGAUGCAUGUUAUAUAACUAUUAGGAGAGAGUUAUAGAUCUAACUAAUUAGGAAUGCAGGUUAAAAGGAUUGUGGCUGUGCUCCUACCAUUGCUCUUGUGGCAAGUAUUAAGAAGUUGCAAAGGGUGUACGAUAAAUGACGUCAGAUUAAAAGACAACACCUGGCCUACAACUGGGAGGGUAGAGGUAUGCAACGGAGCUGAGACGUGGUACAGCAUUUGUACCCGCUCGAUAGGCCUGGCUUAUGUUGUAUGCAGACAAUUGGAUUACUGUGGACCCAGUUGUCAGUUAGACUAUAUAGGUUAAUUAAUGCGGUUUUAUUAUAAUAUUACAUGUUUGCAGAUAUCACAUCUACUCCGUACAAUUCUAGCUAUUUCAAGGAAGUUGACUGUAUACUGGACAUGAGAGUGAUCUGAGUUCUUGCAGUGUUAUGUCCCUUAUUGGUUCAUGCUCACAAGCUGUUGUGUUGGAUGUCGAUAUGUUAAUACUCCAAAUUCUCUAUCAAACCCUUCAAUAAGUAUUCUCAGUUCUAUCUUAUUUAGUCUCACGUGGUCUUAUCCAAGUACAAGCAGCUGCAGAAAUAUCGAUGGCUAUAUAGAGUCACCUGUACAGCUCCUGGGUGUCCUGGUUUAAUACAAACCAAUUUCACUAUUUAUUCUGCUGCUGAUGUUACUAGCUGCAACUAUCGAUGCUGCAUCUGAAGCUACAACAGUGCUGGAAGUAGCUCUUCAAGAUGCACUUCUUUGUCUGUUCCAGGUAGACCUAAUUCUGUGCGGGGAACUAUUCAGAGUCCACAAUCAGUUCAAAUAUCGUGGUCACACCCAUCAACGAACUACUACUAUAUAACUGGAUAUCGGGUAUCCUACAAUAACCAGGAAAUGCAAACUACAUCGACAAGUUUAACAAUCAAUGGCUUGACACUCACAACAUACACUUUCUAUGUGAGCGCUAACAGUGUGGCUGGUCGGAGCUCAAAUUAAACAGUUCUACCACUGUGACCAUAGCUCCCCCUAGUGCUCCACCAUGGCUGUCUGCAACAAACCUGAGCCCUACCUCAUUUAUUUUGAGGUGGGGUAGCCCUAGCAACUGGCA